rnacentral:lncRNA from 1 species
GGGUGGGGUUUAGAGUUAAAGGGUGGGGUUUAGGAUUUAGGGUUUAGGGUUUAGGGUUUAGAGUUUAGGGUUUAGGGUUUAGAGUUUAGGAUUUAGGGUUUAGGGUUUAUAGUUUAGGGUUUAGGGUUUAGGGUUUAUAGUUUAGGGUUUAGGGUUUAGAGUUUAGGCUUUAGGGUUUAGAGUUGAGAAAUGAGGUUUUGGGGAUAAGAUUUCAAAUUUUGAAAAAUAAAAAAAUUAAAAUUUUCAAAAGAUAAAAUGCUAUUUUGGUCAUUUUUGUUUUUGAGUGCUAUUUUUGUGAUAUAAAUUUAGAAAGAUGCUAUUUUGGAGAUUUGCCCAUAAUAAUUUCUGAUUUAAAA